rnacentral:sRNA from 1 species
GCCGGAUGCAGUGGCGCAUGCCUGUAAUACCAGCAGCUAGGGAGGCUGAGGCAGGGGGAUUGCAAGUUCAAAACCAGCUUUAGCAACUUAGUGAGAUGCUAAGCAACUUAGCAAGACCCUGUCUCUA